CUCAAAUCCUUGGAACCUAGGUGUGAGUGCUGCUUCAGUGCAACACACCUAUUCAAGGAUUUAAA
ensembl:miRNA